AUUGAACGCUGGCGGCAUGCUUUACACAUGCAAGUCGAACGGUAACAGGCCGCAAGGUGCUGACGAGUGGCGAACGGGUGAGUAAUGCAUCGGAACGUGCCCAGUCGUGGGGGAUAACGCAGCGAAAGCUGCGCUAAUACCGCAUACGAUCUAUGGAUGAAAGCGGGGGACCGAAAGGCCUCGCGCGAUUGGAGCGGCCGAUGUCAGAUUAGGUAGUUGGUGGGGUAAAGGCCCACCAAGCCAACGAUCUGUAGCUGGUCUGAGAGGACGACCAGCCACACUGGGACUGAGACACGGCCUAGACUCCUACGGGAGGCAGCAGUGGGGAAUUUUGGACAAUGGGCGCAAGCCUGAUCCAGCAAUGCCGCGUGCAGGAAGAAGGCCUUCGGGUUGUAAACUGCUUUUGUACGGAACGAAAUGGUCCGGGUUAAUACCCUGGGCUAAUGACGGUACCGUAAGAAUAAGCACCGGCUAACUACGUGCCAGCCGCCGCCGUAAGAC
rnacentral:rRNA from 1 species